CACUUUUUUUCUGACGUUUCUAAUGUAUGAUUUAUCUGAGAGUAACAACUGAAAUUUACACACACACACACACACACACACACAC